CAGCCGCCGCGGUAAUACGGAGGGUGCAAGCGUUAAUCGGAAUUACUGGGCGUAAAGCGUGCGUAGGCGGUUUGUUAAGUCUGUUGUGAAAUCCCCGGGCUCAACCUGGGAAUGGCAAUGGAUACUGGCAAGCUAGAGUGUGUCAGAGGAUGGUGGAAUUCCCGGUGUAGCGGUGAAAUGCGUAGAGAUCGGGAGGAACAUCAGUGGCGAAGGCGGCCAUCUGGGACAACACUGACGCUGAGGCACGAAAGCGUGGGGAGCAAACAGGAUUAGAUACCCCAGUAGUCCCUGUCUCUUAUAC
rnacentral:rRNA from 1 species